UGUAACUUAAUGUGCUUGUAGGAUGGGCUUAUGUGUGUGUAUAAAGUCAGAGCGAGUGCUCUGAAAAAAGUGUGUGUUCCACGGAGCACUCCGGCUUGCUAUACUCUUGUAUUAAAAGUCUAUAAUUGAAUUCAAAGUUCUUGAUUAUGUCAUAGUUGAACCGAUUUUCUACCACAUAUUUGGCGAGCUUUGCCAGGAGUGCCAGGGGCCGAGGCGUCCUGACUGACUUUUGGACAAUCUGGCAAACAAGGGUGGCCACCCAGCUAUAAGAAGUGUGUAUGUCCCCAGGAAAAAAAAACAGCACAUAAGAGGCCAGAUGGAAAGGCAUGGGCUGAAUUCUGGAAACUGAGUGUACAUCAAGAUACACCGGGCUGGGGAUAUACUUCUUACAGCACCUGCAGUGGUAAAGAUCGUCAUGUCUCUCUUUGAUGGGUGCAUAAGUUUCACAAGAAGUAAGGUCCAGCAGAAUAAUGGGUGAGCUUGAAAAUACCAUGACAGAGGACGUGAAACAAAAGAGAGAGAGAGAGAGAGAGAGAGAGAGAGAGAGAGACUAGAUUCCACUGUAGACAUACUGGGUUGAGUUAGGGGUUACUUGUUUUAUUUGUUAAUGUAUCAUAUGAAAAAGGAUAGAUGUUAGGGUAGUUGUACUCUAAACAACAUGUUGAAGGCUCGGAGUGAAAGCCCAUUCAGUGUUGAAUUAUUUCAAGAAGAAAUAAUGUUGACUAAGGUUAUGCACAUGCUUAUCAGUUGAAACAGAGCAGAUAGGGAAUUAAGUAAAAAAUGACAUGAUUUGGGAACACCUCUCAGAACCUGCGGCCGAAAGGGGAAGACUGGAUGAAAGCACGAGGAAGCCAAUUAGGGCCUCCAUUUUUGUGGAGUCCAGCAGAAACCUAUCCUGGAGGCAUAGAGUCAGGUGAAGAAAGAGUGGGAAUUGUCAUGGUCUUAGAUUUCAGUAUUCAUGAAUACAGUCAUGCAUAACACAUAACAUUGUCAAUACUGUUAUGUUUUGUCCUUUGUUUUCCAAGUCUUGUGUUUAGGAAACCAGAUGGAGAAGGGUUCGCCAGCUUCAGCUGGAAUGUCAGUUUGUGUGAUGAGUGAUGGAAGUAAGAGAAUGUAUGGUGUAAUCAUAGAACAGAGGCCAUAAGUCUCUAAGUAUGAAUGCCCCACAGAAAGAAGGCAGAAACCUGAACCAGGACGAGAGGUUCCACAUCUGAUGAUCCAAGGGGACCAGAAGGACCUCUCCCAGUGAUACCAGGAGAUCUAGUCUACGUUUGAGUGUUCCGAAGGAAGUGGGAUCAGCCGAGGAGGGAAGGACCCUACGAGGUGGCAACGGCCACAAACACGGCCGUCCAAGUGAAAGGAAGCAAGACGUGGUAUCAUCUAAACCACUGCACCCGAGUCCCGACGGAGAGAAGGACACAACCAUACAGAGAUGAGGACACAGAGGAUGCUGAUUCACCAGAGGGGACCCCGGAGGGAGCAGGAGCAGCGGAAUCGAUCAAAGCGCCGGGGAAGAAUCAAGAAAAUGGCAGACCAGAUACAACGAGUGCAUCAGCUAACACACUCAGAAGAACCAACCAGGGAAAAAGAGCCUGAAAAGAAAAGAGACAAACAACCAAAGUUUCCUCCAGAAUGGCCAGAAAGCCCAGAAGUGGGAGGGGCAGUUGUUGGGGCAGACCUCUUUGACAGAAGCCCUCUACAGUGGGACCCCGAGGUAUUGCCUAAAGAAUGUGAACAUCUCUUCCCUGAAAUGGACACCUUCCAGAUGGAAGCCCAGUCCGGCCUGAGGAGGGAGCCUCAGGGGAAGACAGAGGAGGAGAGGCCUCACAGGAACGGAAGGAGAGACCCCGCAAAGAGUAGGAAAAGUCCAGCAAGCUGAAGAAAAUGGGGAUUUCCCCAAAAUUGACUUUUCAGCUCUUGAAUUGUCUCCAUAAUGAACAAUUGAAGUUAGACCCAUAGAAGAACAAUGAUAUUGACAUAACAGAAGUAACAGUGAACGCUAGAAUAGCAACAACAGACUCACGCACAAUCAAGAUGUAGGAUGGAAACAGGAAGAGAAGAGAGGAACCAGUCAAACAAUCUAAAAAGACUGACAAGGUUAGAAUCUCUGUCCCACCUCAACAUAUAACUGAAACAGAAGAACAGAAGACAAAAGGAUCAAACCCUUACCGGAGAUUGCAUUCGGUGGAUGGACAUAUCAUCGAACGAAGAGAGAAGUCAUUUGGGACUCAAAAGGAUGUGACCUGACGUUAACCAAAGAAGUAGACGAGUGGGUGCUCACCAUGAAUCAGAUUGAACCAGUUGAAGGUGAAGAAUUAAUAGUUGAAAAUAACGAGAACAAGAUUGACCCUUCGGUAGCUCCUCAGUCAUUGGAAUUGGUCUUAUGCCAAUACCUAAACAGGAAGAGCCUGUGGUAGCUAGAAAGCAUCAGAACCAGGAGGGUUCUUUAUUGACAUUUUGAACUUUUUGACUAACUCUAAUGACCUACCUCAAGAUAAGAACAUUGCAAAGAUGACAGACACAGACAUACCAGACUCUGAACCACUCAAGGACACCACACGAGAAGAAGUAGUGAAGAAUGAGUGGUACGAUUAGGCUAAGUAUACAGCAGAAAUAAACAUAGAAUGGACAAUUGUAUUUUGUGUAGAAAAUCACCUUUGUCUGAUCUUUUGAUAGGACCUGAACCUGCAUCAUUUGAAGAAUGUGUUAAAUGUAAAAUGUUCAAUAUUCAGAGAAAAUACUACAUUCCCUUGUGUGACAUAGAAUGUAGGAUUGCUCGAGGGAGCACUAGAGGCAGAAGAACUAUGUUAAACGAGACUGGAUUAGGAGACAAGGAUUGUGCUGCCUAUGACAUUAGAACUGAAUUAAAUGGACCUCAAUUAGACAGAAGUACUGUGGUUAGGUAAAUAUGAAUGUUUGUACAGCCAUAACACCGAAGAAAUUGAUGUAGGAAACACCACCGUAGAAUGUGAUACUAUUUGGGUACUAGAGACUGCUGGGGUUCGUAGAAAUAAAGAUAAAGGGUUGAUAAUGCAUAGAAAAGGGGUGUGUGGUACAAUAACUCAGGUUGCGCCAUUUCUAAUUAUGCUAAAAAAUCAGGACAGAGGUGUUGCGGACAGUUUCUGGAUGUGUGGGAAAAACAAACUGUUGAAUGUACUGCCAGAUGGAUGGACUGGUCUUUGUGCCUUAGUUAGAGCAAUCAACAGGUUACUAUUAUUAAGUCAUCCCAUGAUGACUAUGUUAACACUAGAGUUAAGAGGGCGUAUGAGAAAGACACUGAGGUAUACCUUGAUGUAAUUGGAUAGCCUAGAGGAGUACCUUGGGAGUUCAAGGCAAGAGAUGAAGUUAACCUCUCUGAUCUACCCAUCCCGGAUCCGGUAUCGUGAAUACAGACUCAAGCUCAUUACCAUUACGCAACGUCAACUAUUCAUGAAAAUCGCAAAUGAAAUGAAAUAAAUAUGCUAGCUCUCAAGCUUAGCCUUUUGUUAACAACACUGUCAUCUCAGAUUUUCAAAAUAUGCUUCUCAACCAUAGGAAAACAAUCAUUUGUGUAACAGUAGCUAGCUAGCGUAGCAUUUAGCGUUAGCAUUAUCGUUAGCAUUUAGCAGGUAACACUUUCACAAAAAACAGAAAAGCAUUCAAAUAAAAUAAUUCACCUUUGAAGAA